rnacentral:rRNA from 1 species
AUUGAACGCUGGCGGCAGGCCUAACACAUGCAAGUCGAACGGUAACAGGAAGAAGCUUGCUUCUUUGCUGACGAGUGGCGGACGGGUGAGUAAUGUCUGUGAAACUGCCUGAUGGAGGGGGAUAACUACUGGAAACGGUAGCUAAUACCGCAUAACGUCGCAAGACCAAAAAGGGGGACCUUCGGGCCUCUUGCCUUCGGAUGUGCCCAGAUGGGAUUAGCUAGUAGGUGGGGUAACGGCUCACCUAGGCGACGAUCCCUAGCUGGUCUGAGAGGAUGACCAGCCACACUGGAACUGAGACACGGUCCAGACUCCUACGGGAGGCAGCAGUGGGGAAUAUUGCACAAUGGGCGCAAGCCUGAUGCAGCCAUGCCGCGUGUAUGAAGAAGGCCUUCGGGUUGUAAAGUACUUUCAGCGGGGAGGAAGGGAGUAAAGUUAAUACCUUUACUCAUUGACGUUACCCGAAGAAGAAGCACCGGCUAACUCCGUG